UAGACUUGCAUGGUAACGAACGAGGGUGAAAGCCUGAGGUUCGCAAGACGUUACCACUGGUGCUGCAUGGCUGUCGUCAGCUCGUGUCGUGAGAUGUUAGGUUAAGUCCUGUAACGAGCGCAACCCCCGGGAAGUAGUUACACGUUGUCUACUUCAACUGCCUGCGCAAGUGGGAGGAAGGUGGGGAUGACGUCAAGUCAGCAUGGCCUGUAUGUCUAGGG
rnacentral:rRNA from 1 species